rfam:Triticum urartu cultivar G1812 contig874637, whole genome shotgun sequence.
UAUAUACUUCCUUCGUCCGGAAAUACUUAUCGUACAAAUGGAUAUAAAUGGAUGUAUCUAGAACUAAAAUACAUCCAGAUACAUCCAUUAGUUGGACAAGUAUUUUCGGACGGAGGAGCUAUACG